GGGUUGUGAGGUUAAGCGACUAAGCGUACACGGUGGAUGCCCUGGCAGUCAGAGGCGAUGAAGGACGUGCUAAUCUGCGAUAAGCGUCGGUAAGGUGAUAUGAACCGUUAUAACCGGCGAUUUCCGAAUGGGGAAACCCAGUGUGAUUCGUCACACUAUCAUUAACUGAAUCCAUAGGUUAAUGAGGCGAACCGGGGGAACUGAAACAUCUAAGUACCCCGAGGAAAAGAAAUCAACCGAGAUUCCCCCAGUAGCGGCGAGCGAACGGGGAGCAGCCCAGAGCCUGAAUCAGUGUGUGUGUUAGUGGAAGCGUCUGGAAAGGCGUGCGAUACAGGGUGACAGCCCCGUACACAAAAAUGCACAUGCUGUGAGCUCGAUGAGUAGGGCGGGACACGUGGUAUCCUGUCUGAAUAUGGGGGGACCAUCCUCCAAGGCUAAAUACUCCUGACUGACCGAUAGUGAACCAGUACCGUGAGGGAAAGGCGAAAAGAACCCCGGCGAGGGGAGUGAAAAAGAACCUGAAACCGUGUACGUACAAGCAGUGGGAGCACAGAGCAAUCUGUGUGACUGCGUACCUUUUGUAUAAUGGGUCAGCGACUUAUAUUCUGUAGCAAGGUUAACCGAAUAGGGGAGCCGAAGGGAAACCGAGUCUUAACUGGGCGUUAAGUUGCAGGGUAUAGACCCGAAACCCGGUGAUCUAGCCAUGGGCAGGUUGAAGGUUGGGUAACACUAACUGGAGGACCGAACCGACUAAUGUUGAAAAAUUAGCGGAUGACUUGUGGCUGGGGGUGAAAGGCCAAUCAAACCGGGAGAUAGCUGGUUCUCCCCGAAAGCUAUUUAGGUAGCGCCUCGUGAAUUCAUCUCCGGGGGUAGAGCACUGUUUCGGCAAGGGGGUCAUCCCGACUUACCAACCCGAUGCAAACUGCGAAUACCGGAGAAUGUUAUCACGGGAGACACACGGCGGGUGCUAACGUCCGUCGUGAAGAGGGAAACAACCCAGACCGCCAGCUAAGGUCCCAAAGUCAUGGUUAAGUGGGAAACGAUGUGGGAAGGCCCAGACAGCCAGGAUGUUGGCUUAGAAGCAGCCAUCAUUUAAAGAAAGCGUAAUAGCUCACUGGUCGAGUCGGCCUGCGCGGAAGAUGUAACGGGGCUAAACCAUGCACCGAAGCUGCGGCAGCGACGCUUAUGCGUUGUUGGGUAGGGGAGCGUUCUGUAAGCCUGCGAAGGUGUGCUGUGAGGCAUGCUGGAGGUAUCAGAAGUGCGAAUGCUGACAUAAGUAACGAUAAAGCGGGUGAAAAGCCCGCUCGCCGGAAGACCAAGGGUUCCUGUCCAACGUUAAUCGGGGCAGGGUGAGUCGACCCCUAAGGCGAGGCCGAAAGGCGUAGUCGAUGGGAAACAGGUUAAUAUUCCUGUACUUGGUGUUACUGCGAAGGGGGGACGGAGAAGGCUAUGUUGGCCGGGCGACGGUUGUCCCGGUUUAAGCGUGUAGGCUGGUUUUCCAGGCAAAUCCGGAAAAUCAAGGCUGAGGCGUGAUGACGAGGCACUACGGUGCUGAAGCAACAAAUGCCCUGCUUCCAGGAAAAGCCUCUAAGCAUCAGGUAACAUCAAAUCGUACCCCAAACCGACACAGGUGGUCAGGUAGAGAAUACCAAGGCGCUUGAGAGAACUCGGGUGAAGGAACUAGGCAAAAUGGUGCCGUAACUUCGGGAGAAGGCACGCUGAUAUGUAGGUGAAGUCCCUCGCGGAUGGAGCUGAAAUCAGUCGAAGAUACCAGCUGGCUGCAACUGUUUAUUAAAAACACAGCACUGUGCAAACACGAAAGUGGACGUAUACGGUGUGACGCCUGCCCGGUGC
rnacentral:rRNA from 1 species